rnacentral:rRNA from 1 species
UACAGAGGGUGCGAGCGUUAAUCGGAAUUACUGGGCGUAAAGGGCGCGUAGGCGGCCCGCUAAGUCGAACGUGAAAUCCCCGAGCUCAACUCGGGAACUGCGUCCGAUACUGGGAGGCUUGAAUCCGGGAGAGGGAUGCGGAAUUCCAGGUGUAGCGGUGAAAUGCGUAGAUAUCUGGAGGAACACCGGUGGCGAAGGCGGCAUCCUGGACCGGUAUUGACGCUGAGGCGCGAAAGCCAGGGGAGCAAACGGG